rnacentral:rRNA from 1 species
UUGGGAAAGCGAGCGGCGGAUGGGUGAGUAACACGUGGGGAACCUGCCCCUAAGUCUGGGAUACCAUUUGGAAACAGGUGCUAAUACCGGAUAAUAAAGCAGAUCGCAUGAUCAGCUUUUGAAAGGCGGCGUAAGCUGUCGCUAAGGGAUGGCCCCGCGGUGCAUUAGCUAGUUGGUAAGGUAACGGCUUACCAAGGCGACGAUGCAUAGCCGAGUUGAGAGACUGAUCGGCCACAUUGGGACUGAGACACGGCCCAAACUCCUACGGGAGGCAGCAGUAGGGAAUCUUCCACAAUGGACGCAAGUCUGAUGGAGCAACGCCGCGUGAGUGAAGAAGGUUUUCGGAUCGUAAAGCUCUGUUGUUGGUGAAGAAGGAUAGAGGUAGUAACUGGCCUUUAUUUGACGGUAAUCAACCAGAAAGUCACGGCUAACUACGUGCCAGCAGCCGCGGUAAUACGUAGGUGGCAAGCGUUGUCCGGAUUUAUUGGGCGUAAAGCGAGCGCAGGCGGAAAAAUAAGUCUAAUGUGAAAGCCCUCGGCUUAACCGAGGAACUGCAUCGGAAACUGUUUUUCUUGAGUGCAGAAGAGGAGAGUGGAACUCCAUGUGUAGCGGUGGAAUGCGUAGAUAUAUGGAAGAACACCAGUGGCGAAGGCGGCUCUCUGGUCUGCAACUGACGCUGAGGCUCGAAAGCAUGGGUAGCGAACAGGAUUAGAUACCCUGGUAGUCCAUGCCGUAAACGAUGAGUGCUAAGUGUUGGGAGGUUUCCGCCUCUCAGUGCUGCAGCUAACGCAUUAAGCACUCCGCCUGGGGAGUACGACCGCAAGGUUGAAACUCAAAGGAAUUGACGGGGGGCCCGCACAAGCGGUGGGAGCAUGUGGUUUAAAUUCCGAAGCACCCCGAAGAACCUUACCAGGUCUUGA